AAUAGUAAUUUUGGAAUGCAAGUGAAGUUAAAAAGACUAGAAAGCCCUUGGAGUAUAUGUGUUUUUUUUUAAGAUUGAAGCUCAACGAUCAAGGAAAGUGACAGACACAAAUAUUCUCAGCAUUUAAUGCAUGAGUGUCUCACAGGACAAGUUAUCAACUCACUUUUUCAUUUCGUUUUAUAGUAAUAGUGGUAAUUUUUUUAUAAAUUUGGCCACAUAAAUACAUGGCUGGAAGAGUGCAUUUAGUUUCAGAAAAUAAUGUUGAGAUCCUAAAAAAAUUGGAUGCAAUUACUAGUCUUUUGGCCACAUUGGUGGAAAAGAUAGAUAAAAAUAGUGAGCAAACACAAAUAAAUAGUGCACAAUUUGAAGAGUUGCAGUCUUUUGUUGCUGAUUUGAGGCAAUUUCAGCAAGGAAAGGGUCUGUAUUCUGAGAUUCCUAAAACACCUGCUGGAGAAAAAAGUGGCCAAAAAAAGUAAGGAUGCGCUCAAAGGUAGUGAUCAUCAAGCACUCGCAGCUGAAGUUCUUCCACCAUUAGAGACACUAAUCAUCUAAGUCGUUCCAACUUUUAACCCUAGAGUUCUUCCAACUCUCCAAGUCAUUCCACCAAAAGACGUCUCUAAUGAUUAGCGUCUCCAUUUUCAAUAUAUGAUCCGAUUCAUUCUUGUGUCCCGCAUUCCACUACCCAUAGUUAGCCUGCCAUCCUAGAAACUAGCCAAGAGCUUUGCUCUACUCGCCCUCUUAGGAUCGCUUUGUAGGGUCAGGAUGUCACUUGUUAGUCCUCAUUGGAGUCGACUUCAUCCAAAAACAAUUGAGGCCUUAAUGUGUGCUCAAAGUUGGUGUAGACUUAUGAAAACAAAGAUGGAUUUGCAUCAUUAGCUACAGAUUGUUAUGCCACUAUUUAUGAUGAUGAUGAUGGUGAUUUGGAAUAUUCAGGUAAUAAUAUUUUUAUAUUUAUUGAUUUUAUAAUAUGAGAUUUUUUAGUUAUUUUAUUAAUUUAUUUUUAUCAUAAUUAUGCUGAAGAGUCUACUACUAUUACCCUCGAGUGAGGCAUUACGAUAAUAAGAGCAACUUUGUAUUUAAAGUUUUAA